rnacentral:rRNA from 1 species
UUGACCUCGAAUCAGGUAGGAAUACCCGCUGAACUUAAGCAUAUCAAUAAGCGGAGGAAAAGAAACCAACCGGGAUUACCUCAGUAACGGCGAGUGAAGCGGUAACAGCUCAAAUUUGAAAUCUGGCUCCUCUGGAGUCCGAGUUGUAAUUUGUAGAAGAUGCUUUGGGUUGUGGGUUCGGCCUAAGUUCCUUGGAACAGGACGUCAUAGAGGGUGAGAAUCCCGUAUGUGGCCGAGGCCCGCGCCUAUGUAAAGCUCUUUCAACGAGUCGAGUUGUUUGGGAAUGCAGCUCAAAAUGGGUGGUAAAUUUCAUCUAAAGCUAAAUAUGGGCCAGAGACCGAUAGCGCACAAGUAGAGUGAUCGAAAGAUGAAAAGCACUUUGGAAAGAGAGUUAAACAGUACGUGAAAUUGUUGAAAGGGAAGCGCUUGCACCCAGACUUGGGCGCUGCUGAUCACCUUGCGGUCUCCGCGAGUGCACUCGACAGCGCACAGGCCAGCAUCGGUUCGGGUGGCUGGAUAAAGGCCGUAGGAACGUAGCUCCCUUCGGGGAGUGUUAUAGCCUACGGUGCCAUGCAGCCCAGCCGGACCGAGGACCGCGCCUUCGGGCUAGGAUGCUGGCGUAAUGGGUGUAAGCGACCCGUCUUGAAACACGGACCAAGGAGUCUAACAUCUAUGCGAGUGUUUGGGUGGUAAACCCAUACGCGGAAUGAAAGUGAACGUAGGUGAGAACCCCUUUGGGGCGCAUCAUCGACCGAUCCUGAUGUCUUCGGAUGGAUUUGAGUAAGAGCAUAGC